rnacentral:rRNA from 1 species
CCUGAGAAACCCGAAAGGUCGAAAGGAGAAAUUCAUUCGCGUUUCGAGGCGAGCGUUUAGCAGAGUGUGCGACGAAACGGGCGACCGUUUCGCGUCCUUUGUUUUUCGAUCUUGCAGCGAACGCGUGCACUUUUCUCCUAGUAGGACGUCGCGAUCCGUUGGGUGCCGGUUUACGAAUGUUGCGAUGGAGCCCGUUUGUAGCGUUUUCGGACGUUUUUACUUGCGAACUCGUACAUUCUAACCGGCUCGCUCGACGGUAUGAUAUAUGGUUUGGAGCCGCUUUUAAAGCGUCUGACUCGUGACAAGCGCGCUAGUCUGUUGGCCUUCGGACCUAGUGCCGAUUCUGACACCUAGUGACUGUUGGUUGCGAUGUUCUUGGACAGACUCUACUAACAAACCGAUCUGCGACGCUAUAGCUUUGGGUAAUUUCAGGACCCGUCUUGAAACACGGACCAAGGAGUCUAGCAUGUACGCGAGUCAUUGGGAAUUAUUAAACCUAAAGGCGAAAUGAAAGUGAAGAUCUUUCUUACGAGAGAUCGAGGGAAGACGAUGAAUCCUACGGGGUUUUUCUGCAUUCCCGGAGCGUCUCAUUCUCAUUGCGAGAGGAGGCGCACCAAGAGCGUACACGCUGGGACCCGAAAGAUGGUGAACUAUGCCUG